ACUCCUACGGGAGGCAGCAGUGGGGAAUAUUGCACAAUGGGCGCAAGCCUGAUGCAGCGACGCCGCGUGGGGGAUGAAGGCCUUCGGGUUGUAAACUCCUUUCGCUAGGGACGAAGCUUUUUUGUGACGGUACCUAGAUAAGAAGCACCGGCUAACUACGUGCCAGCAGCCGCGGUAAUACGUAGGGUGCGAGCGUUGUCCGGAAUUACUGGGCGUAAAGGGCUCGUAGGUGGUUUGUCGCGUCGUCUGUGAAAUUCUGGGGCUUAACUCCGGGCGUGCAGGCGAUACGGGCAUAACUUGAGUGCUGUAGGGGUAACUGGAAUUCCUGGUGUAGCGGUGAAAUGCGCAGAUAUCAGGAGGAACACCGAUGGCGAAGGCAGGUUACUGGGCAGUUACUGACGCUGAGGAGCGAAAGCAUGGGUAGCGAACAGGAUUAGAAACCCCAGUAGUCCCAUG
rnacentral:rRNA from 1 species